GAUGAACGCUGGCGGCGUGCCUAAUACAUGCAAGUCGAGCGAACAGACGAGGAGCUUGCUCCUCUGACGUUAGCGGCGGACGGGUGAGUAACACGUGGAUAACCUACCUAUAAGACUGGGAUAACUUCGGGAAACCGGAGCUAAUACCGGAUAAUAUAUUGAACCGCAUGGUUCAAUAGUGAAAGACGGUUUUGCUGUCACUUAUAGAUGGAUCCGCGCCGCAUUAGCUAGUUGGUAAGGUAACGGCUUACCAAGGCAACGAUGCGUAGCCGACCUGAGAGGGUGAUCGGCCACACUGGAACUGAGACACGGUCCAGACUCCUACGGGAGGCAGCAGUAGGGAAUCUUCCGCAAUGGGCGAAAGCCUGACGGAGCAACGCCGCGUGAGUGAUGAAGGUCUUCGGAUCGUAAAACUCUGUUAUUAGGGAAGAACAAAUGUGUAAGUAACUAUGCACGUCUUGACGGUACCCAAUCAGAAAGCCACGGCUAACUACGU
rnacentral:rRNA from 1 species